rnacentral:rRNA from 1 species
AACGAACGCUGGCGGCGUGCUUAACACAUGCAAGUCGAACGGUAAGGCCCUUCGGGGUACACGAGUGGCGAACGGGUGAGUAACACGUGGGUGAUCUGCCCUGCACUUCGGGAUAAGCCUGGGAAACUGGGUCUAAUACCGGAUAGGACUCCUGCCUGCAUGGGUGGGGGUGGAAAGCUUUUGCGGUGUGGGAUGGGCCCGCGGCCUAUCAGCUUGUUGGUGGGGUGAUGGCCUACCAAGGCGACGACGGGUAGCCGGCCUGAGAGGGUGAACGGCCACACUGGGACUGAGACACGGCCCAGACUCCUACGGGAGGCAGCAGUGGGGAAUAUUGCGCAAUGGACGAAAGUCGGACGCAGCGACGCCUCGUGAGGGACGAAGGUCUUCGGAUUGUAAACCUCUUUCAGCAGGGACGAAGCGAAAGUGACGGUACCUGCAGAAGAAGCACCGGCUAACUAUGUGCCAGCCGCCGCCGUAA